UGGGGAAUAUUGCACAAUGGGCGCAAGCCUGAUGCAGCCAUGCCGCGUGUAUGAAGAAGGCCUUCGGGUUGUAAAGUACUUUCAGCGGGGAGGAAGGGAGUAAAGUUAAUACCUUUGCUCAUUGACGUUACCCGCAGAAGAAGCACCGGCUAACUCCGUGCCAGCAGCCGCGGUAAUACGGAGGGUGCAAGCGUUAAUCGGAAUUACUGGGCGUAAAGCGCGCGCAGGCGGUUUGUUAAGUCAGAUGUGAAAUCCCCGGGCUCAACCUGGGAACUGCAUCUGAUACUGGCAAGCUUGAGUCUCGUAGAGGGGGGUAGAAUUCCAGGUGUAGCGGUGAAAUGCGUAGAGAUCUGGAGGAAUACCGGUGGCGAAGGCGGCCCCCUGGACGAAGACUGACGCUCAGGUGCGAAAGCGUGGGGAGCAAACAGG
rnacentral:rRNA from 1 species